rnacentral:lncRNA from 1 species
AGAAACUAAGUGGUUUUUACACCAAGUACAAUUCAGCUCCCAUACGAAGAAUCAUACAACUCAGCUGCCGACAUGAGUCCUCAAUUGAAUCCCCACCUAACACUAACCCCUUCUCCAUACGAAUUUAAUUCGUAUUCAUAAUUCUCGCCUGGAUCUGUACCAAUUUAUAGUACAAUUCAUACACAACAAUCUUGCUGUAACUUUUCAUCAUUCUCUUGAUCUUUCUUCAUACCAUAAUCUUAUCAGAUCACGGAGUGAUCUCAUCGUAUAUAUUACGAUUCAUUGCUAUUCUGUGAUCGUUUUGUUUUACGAUCUCCCAUCCUUACACUUGUAAUCUCUUAGACUCUAUCUAUCCACUUCCUAUACUUGGUACACAUCGAGUCUUUAACAGUUUUCAAUAUGGUACGCUGAGUGGUUUCCCACAAACAACCAACAAACUAGGUUCCGAGUUGCUAGUUCGUAUAUACCUCCGCUCUAUGAAGGAAUCGUUUAGCCCAGAUACCAUACAUCAACUAGUUUCGAGUACAAUGGUACCAUACUUAAACCUAACUCUUUGACCCUGCGAGAUUCUUCAACUAACUCUAUGUGAGUUAGUACUUAUCCUAAUCACUGCGGUUAUUGGUCUCAGGUAUUGCUACCUAAGCUUCAUAACCAACAGCUUUGAUACCAACUGUGGCGUCCCCGAAUCCGGGUCUCGAAUCGCCGCGGAUCCGGUUCGCUAUUUCUACA